AGUGAACGCUGGCGGUAGGCCUAACACAUGCAAGUCGAACGGCAGCACAGUAAGAUCUUGCUCUUACGGGUGGCGAGUGGCGGACGGGUGAGGAAUACAUCGGAAUCUACUUUUUCGGGGGGGAUAACGUAGGGAAACUUACUCUAAUACCGCAUACGACCUACGGGUGAAAGCAUUGGAUCUUCUGACCUUGCGCGAUUGAAUUAGCCGAUGUUGGAUUAGCUAGUUGGCUGGGUAAAGGCCCACCAAGUCGACGAUCCGUAGCUGGUGUGAGAGAAUGAUCGGCGACACUGGAACUGAGACACGGUCAAGGCUCCUACGGGAGGCAGCAGUGGGGAAUAUUGGACAAUGGGCGCAAGCCUGAUCCAGCCAUACCGAGUGGGUGAAGAAGGCCUUCGGGUUGUAAAGCCGUUUUGUUGGGAAAGAAAAGCAGCAGGUUAAUACCCAGCUGUUCUGACGGUACCCAAAGAAUAAGCACCGGCUAACUUCGUG
rnacentral:rRNA from 1 species